GUGACCGUAGCUCAGUGGUAGAGCCCCGGAUUGUGAUUCCGGUGGUCGUGGGUUCGAACCCCAUCGGUCACCCCA
rnacentral:tRNA from 1 species